rnacentral:rRNA from 1 species
AUGGACCAGCUCGCGGACCCCUCCCCCUCCUCGUCAUCCUGCUCCCCGCAGGAGUCGCGGCGGUCGGUGAAGCGGAGGCCGCCGCCCGCGGGGUCCCCGGAGCCGUCGCCGAGGGCGGGCGCCGGAGGAGCGGGCGCGGCGGAGCUGCUCCGGCGGGUUGAGGAGCUGGAAGCGGCCGCGGCGCGGCUGGCGAUGGAGAAGGAGGCGGCCGAGGAGUCGGCGCUGGGCCUGCAGGGCGAGCUGGAGGCCGAGCGGGCCUCGGCCGAGACGGCGGCCAGCGAGGCCAUGCUCAUGAUCGAGCGCCUGCAGCGGGAGAAGGCCGCGGCCCAGAUGGAGGCCCGCCAGUUCCGCCGCUACGCCGAGGGCCGCGCCGACCACGAGCGCGAGGUGCAGGAGGAGCUCGCCUCGCUCUCCGACCUCGCCGCAUCCUACCACUCGCGCCUCCAGUCCCACGGGAUCGACCCCGACACCUUCUCCGACGAGGAGGACGAGGAGCUCUACGAGGAGCAGCGCGGCCACGCGGACCAGAUCGACGACCUGGUCUCGCCCGAGGCAGAGGGGGACGGCGCCGACUUGUUAGUCACUGCUGGCAUGGAGGUGAAAGCCAUGGUCGAGGAGGAAGAGCAAGAGCAAUCCACUGCCCCUGUGGAGAAAGAGUUCGAGUACACGGUGGAUGUCAGGUGCGCGAGCCCGACGAUGGCGGCCGUGGCGGUGGUGGGGGAAUACGUGGGGGAUGUAGCCGGCAAUGCAGGGGGUUUAUAUGCGAGGGUGGAGGCGCUGGAGGCGGACAGAGCGGCAAUGCACAGAGAGAUUGCGGCGCUCCGGGCGGAGAGAGCACAGUUGGUCAUGGCAAGGGAGAUGGCUCGUCGACUCUGCUGGGAAGUGGUCUCUGAGAGGAAAAGCAUUGUUAAAAAGGCUGUUGUCCCGGCGAAGAGAUUCUCGGCUUUAGGAAUUUGCAAGUGGUUGCUCUCCGUAAUCUUCUGGAGAAGAAGCUCUACUACCAGGUAUACGUUCGGCUUGUCGACCACGUUCCUUGGCCUCCUGCUGCUCCUCGACAGAUCCACCACGUUGAGUCCAUGGCGGCGCCUGCAUAGGCCACAGCAAUGA